UUGACCUCGGAUCAGGUAGGGAUACCCGCUGAACUUAAGCAUAUCAAUAAGCGGAGGAAAAGAAACCAACAGGA
rnacentral:rRNA from 1 species